GGCUUGAUGUUUCCAAUUGAUCGUAAGAUCAAUACUUUUUUUUAUAAUUACAGUUAUAUAUAGAGAUACGAUCAACAUGAUGGAAUGAUGCCACAUUGACCUCUUCCACUAGGCAUGUUUCCGAAAGCUGGCCUUGUGAUAAGACGAGUCAAGGAUAGAAAACAUGCGUGCCCUGUCUUUUAUCAGCCGUUUCCGGGUCUAUUCUAAAUCAAAGUCGACUUCACGUGGCUGAUAUAAAUUUCCGGUUUUAUUGAGCUGACAAACAAGUGAAGAAGCUUCACGAUUCAGCAUGAAUACGCUUCUACGUGUUACAUCAACGAAUGGCACGACAUACAAAUUAUAAUAUAAAAAUAAAUAAUCCAAACAUUA